rnacentral:rRNA from 1 species
CUACGGGACGCUGCAGUCGAGAAUCUUCCGCAAUGGGCGCAAGCCUGACGGAGCAAUGCCGCGUGAGGGAUGACGGCCCUAGGGUUGUAAACCUCUGUCAGAAGGGACGAAGAACGUGACGGUACCUUCAGAGGAAGCCAUGGCUAACUACGUGCCAGCAGUUGCGGUAAUACGUAGGUGGCGAGCGUUAUUCGGAUUUACUGGGCGUAAAGGGUCCGUAGGGGGUCUGCCAAGUCUGAUGUGAAAUCCUGCGGCUCAACCGCGGAACUGCAUUGGAAACUGGCGGACUAGAGUGUGCGAGGGGUGAGCGGAAUUCCUGGUGUAGCGGUGGAAUGCGUAGAUAUCAGGAAGAACACCGAUGGCGAAGGCGGCUCACUGGCGCAUCACUGACCCUGAGGGACGAAAGCGUGGGUAGCAAACAGGAUUAGAUACCCCAGUAGUC